UACGUAGGGUGCAAGCGUUGUCCGGAAUUAUUGGGCGUAAAGAGCUCGUAGGCGGUUUGUCGCGUCUGCUGUGAAAACUCGGGGCUCAACUCCGAGCUUGCAGUGGGUACGGGCAGACUAGAGUGCGGUAGGGGAGACUGGAAUUCCUGGUGUAGCGGUGGAAUGCGCAGAUAUCAGGAGGAACACCGGUGGCGAAGGCGGGUCUCUGGGCCGUAACUGACGCUGAGGAGCGAAAGCCAGGGGAGCGAACGGG
rnacentral:rRNA from 1 species